rnacentral:rRNA from 1 species
UACGUAGGGUGCAAGCGUUGUCCGGAAUUAUUGGGCGUAAAGAGCUCGUAGGCGGUUUGUCGCGUCUGCUGUGAAAUCCCAGGGCUUAACCCUGGGCCUGCAGUGGGUACGGGCAAACUAGAGUGCGGUAGGGGAGAUCGGAAUUCCUGGUGUAGCGGUGAAAUGCGCAGAUAUCAGGAAGAACACCCGUGGCGAAAGCGGCUCUCUGGGACGGUACUGACGCUGAGACGCGAAAGCGUGGGGAGCGAACAGG